rnacentral:rRNA from 1 species
AUUGAACGCUGGCGGCAGGCCUAACACAUGCAAGUCGAGCGGAGCGGCGGAGGGGGGAGUAAUGCCUAGGAAUCUGCCUGGUAGUGGGGGAUAACGUCCGGUAACGGGCGCUAAUACUGCAUACUAUUAGAUGAGCCUAGGUCGGAGUAGCUAGUUGGUGGGGUAAAGGCAUACCAAGGCGACGAUCCGUAACUGGUCUGAGAGGAUGAUCAGUCACACUGGAACUGAGACACGGUCCAGACUCCUACGGGAGGCAGCAGUGGGGAAUAUUGGACAAUGGGCGAAAGCCUGAUGCAGCCAUGCCGCGUGUGUGAAGAAGGUCUUCGGGUUGUAAAGCACUUUAAGUUGGGAGGCGUUACCAGCAGAAUAAGCACCGGCUAACUUCGUGCCAGCCGCCGCGGUAAUUC